GGAAGGGUACUAAAGUGGUUUAAUAGAACGGCCUGGAACGCCGUGCCUCGUAAGAGGCUCGUGGGUUCGAAUCCCACCCCUUCCG
rnacentral:tRNA from 1 species